CGAACGCUGGCGGCGUGCCUAAUACAUGCAAGUAGAACGCUGAAGGGAGAGCUUGCUCUUCUGGAUGAGUUGCGAACGGGUGAGUAACGCGUAGGUAACCUGCCUGGUAGCGGGGGAUAACUAUUGGAAACGAUAGCUAAUACCGCAUAACAUUGACUAUUGCAUGAUAGUCAAUUAAAAGGUGCAAAUGCACCACUACCAGAUGGACCUGCGUUGUAUUAGCUAGUUGGUGGGGUAACGGCUCACCAAGGCGACGAUACAUAGCCGACCUGAGAGGGUGAUCGGCCACACUGGGACUGAGACACGGCCCAGACUCCUACGGGAGGCAGCAGUAGGGAAUCUUCGGCAAUGGACGGAAGUCUGACCGAGCAACGCCGCGUGAGUGAAGAAGGUUUUCGGAUCGUAAAGCUCUGUUGUAAGAGAAGAACGAGUGUGAGAGUGGAAAGUUC
rnacentral:rRNA from 1 species